rnacentral:rRNA from 1 species
AAUUCGAUGAUACGCGAGGAACCUUACCUGGGCUUAAAUGUAGAGUGCAUUUUUUAGAGAUAGAAAUUCCCUUCGGGGCUUUCUGCAAGGUGCUGCAUGGUUGUCGUCAGCUCGUGCCGUGAGGUGUCGGGUUAAGUCCCAUAACGAGCGCAACCCUUAUCGUUAGUUGCCAUCUGGUAAUGCAGGGGACUCUAGCGAAACUGCCACCGUAAGGUGAGAGGAAGUGGGGAUGACGUCAAAUCAGCACGGCCCUUAUGUCCAGGGCUACACACGUGUUACAAUGGUCGGUACAGAGGGCAGCUACCUGGUGACAGGAUGCUAAUCUCGAAAACCGGUCUCAGUUCGGAUCGAAGUCUGCAACUCGACUUCGUGAAGCUGGAUUCGCUAGUAAUCGCGCAUCAGCUAUGGCGCGGUGAAUACGUUCCCGGGCCUU